rnacentral:rRNA from 1 species
GGGUUGUGAGGUUAAGCGACUAAGCGUACACGGUGGAUGCCCUGGCAGUCAGAGGCGAUGAAGGGCGUGCUAAUCUGCGAUAAGCGCCGGUAAGGUGAUAUGAACCGUUAUAACCGGCGAUACCCGAAUGGGGAAACCCAGUGUGAUUCGUCACACUAUCAUUAACUGAAUCCAUAGGUUAAUGAGGCGAACCGGGGGAACUGAAACAUCUAAGUACCCCGAGGAAAAGAAAUCAACCGAGAUUCCCCCAGUAGCGGCGAGCGAACGGGGAGGAGCCCAGAGCCUGAAUCAGCAUGUGUGUUAGUGGAAGCGUCUGGAAAGGCGCGCGAUACAGGGUGACAGCCCCGUACACAAAAGCGCAUGUGCUGUGAGCUCGAUGAGUAGGGCGGGACACGUGGUAUCCUGUCUGAAUAUGGGGGGACCAUCCUCCAAGGCUAAAUACUCCUGACUGACCGAUAGUGAACCAGUACCGUGAGGGAAAGGCGAAAAGAACCCCGGCGAGGGGAGUGAAAAAGAACCUGAAACCGUGUACGUACAAGCAGUGGGAGCACAGGUUUACCUGUGUGACUGCGUACCUUUUGUAUAAUGGGUCAGCGACUUAUAUUCUGUAGCAAGGUUAACCGAAUAGGGGAGCCGGAGGGAAACCGAGUCUUAACCGGGCGUUAAGUUGCAGGGUAUAGACCCGAAACCCGGUGAUCUAGCCAUGGGCAGGUUGAAGGUUGGGUAACACUAACUGGAGGACCGAACCGACUAAUGUUGAAAAAUUAGCGGAUGACCUGUGGCUGGGGGUGAAAGGCCAAUCAAACCGGGAGAUAGCUGGUUCUCCCCGAAAGCUAUUUAGGUAGCGCCUCGUGAAUUCAUCUCCGGGGGUAGAGCACUGUUUCGGCUAGGGGGCCAUCCCGGCUUACCAACCCGAUGCAAACUGCGAAUACCGGAGAAUGUUAUCACGGGAGACACACGGCGGGUGCUAACGUCCGUCGUGAAGAGGGAAACAACCCAGACCGCCAGCUAAGGUCCCAAAGUCAUGGUUAAGUGGGAAACGAUGUGGGAAGGCCCAGACAGCCAGGAUGUUGGCUUAGAAGCAGCCAUCAUUUAAAGAAAGCGUAAUAGCUCACUGGUCGAGUCGGCCUGCGCGGAAGAUGUAACGGGGCUAAACCAUGCACCGAAGCUGCGGCAGCGACGCUGAUGCGUUGUUGGGUAGGGGAGCGUUCUGUAAGCCUGUGAAGGUGGCCUGUGAGGGUUGCUGGAGGUAUCAGAAGUGCGAAUGCUGACAUAAGUAACGAUAAAGCGGGUGAAAAGCCCGCUCGCCGGAAGACCAAGGGUUCCUGUCCAACGUUAAUCGGGGCAGGGUGAGUCGACCCCUAAGGCGAGGCCGAAAGGCGUAGUCGAUGGGAAACGGGUUAAUAUUCCCGUACUUGGUGUUACUGCGAAGGGGGGACGGAGAAGGCUAUGUUGGCCGGGCGACGGUUGUCCCGGUUUAAGCGUGUAGGUGUGUGUUCCAGGUAAAUCCGGUUCACUUUAACACUGAGGCGUGACGACGAGGCACUACGGUGCUGAAGCAACAAAUGCCCUGCUUCCAGGAAAAGCCUCUAAGCAUCAGGUAACAUCAAAUCGUACCCCAAACCGACACAGGUGGUCAGGUAGAGAAUACCAAGGCGCUUGAGAGAACUCGGGUGAAGGAACUAGGCAAAAUGGUGCCGUAACUUCGGGAGAAGGCACGCUGACACGUAGGUGAAGUGAUUUACUCAUGGAGCUGAAGUCAGUCGAAGAUACCAGCUGGCUGCAACUGUUUAUUAAAAACACAGCACUGUGCAAACACGAAAGUGGACGUAUACGGUGUGACGCCUGCCCGGUGCCGGAAGGUUAAUUGAUGGGGUCAGCGCAAG